CACGCUGUGCAGUGUACCACAGGGACAGGCUAAGAAGCAGAGGUUGGGUGGGGGAGGGUGGCACUGAGGAAAAGGUGACCUGCAGAGGUGCAGCAGCAGAGAGGAAGGGCAUGGGGCACACACAGCUCACCACCUCCCAGUGUAUGCCUGAGCCCUGCUUCAGCCAGCACCCAUGAGGAGAGAAUUCAGAUGUGGGAGCAGGUUUUACAGGGGUGGGAUCUUCCCUUGCAUGACACGCUGCUUCUGAGGUAUUCAUCGCCCCCAGUGACCAGGCAGCCGGGGCUGGGCUCACCAGCACAUGGAGGAAGCGUGAGAGUUCAAGGAGAUUGAUUAGGGAGCAGAUUCUCCAGAGCAGAAAUGGGCCCCACAUGUACCACAUGCCUCCCUCAAAAGGAGUUAUGCUCAUGAUUCUACAUUCAAACCACUGAAGAAGAUGAUCUGAAAACCAGGCCAAGAAGGAAAAUGGAAGUAAAACAAUACCAGCUGGCCCUUAUUUAGGUCAACACCUGAAGGAUGCUACUCCCUGCUCUCAUGCUUUGCCUUCCUCUUCCUUCCUCUUGAACAGGGAUGGCAAAUACUUGGCGUGCAUAUUGCUAUUGUCUGACCUUCCCCACCUCUUUGCAUGGAACUCCUCCCCAUUUCACUUAGAUACAGCUUCAGACUCUUUCUCAACACUCCAGUGAGCCAUGGCCAAUCUACUAAGUUGGUAUGUGAGAUUAAACCUAUUUAA